AACGCACGAGACCUGCGGACCUGCGGAAGGAUCAUCAUUGAAACCCAUUUGCACAAGAGGAUUGUUUGAGGGGGGAGGGGGAUAGAAACUCUGCAUUUUGUCCCCUGAGCUUUGAGAACGGCCUCUUGGACAAACAACCAAUCUACAUGACUAGAAACAUACAGUGAUUUGGCACACACACACACACACAAGUUCUUGUCUGACAAGUGGCUUGCUGAUUUGGAGCAUGAUAACUGAUAC
rnacentral:misc_RNA from 1 species